GGCUCGGUGGCGGAGGGUCCGCAUCUGCUGUAUGUACUAUGUAGAUGAUUAUGUUGUCGAAACGCAGAGAAGCUCGUUCGAAUCGAGCCCGAGCCA